GCGGGCGUAGCUCAGGGGUAGAGCAUCACCUUGCCAAGGUGAGGGUCGGGCGUUCGAAUCGCCUCGCCCGCU
rfam:Brevundimonas abyssalis TAR-001 DNA, contig: BAB087.